rnacentral:rRNA from 1 species
UACUGGACAAUGGGGGCAACACUGAUCCAGCCAUGCCGCGUGUGUGAAGAAGGUCUUCGGACUGUAAAGCACUAUAAUCUUGGAGGAAGGGCUUUAGGGUAAUACCCUGAAGUAGUGACGUUACCAACAGAAUAAGCACCGGCAAAACCAGUGCCAACAGCCGUGGUAAUACUGAGGGUGCAAGCGUUAAUCGGAAUUACUGGGCGUAAAGCGCGCGUAGGUGGUUCAGUAAGAUGGGUGUGAAAUCCCCGGGCUUAACCUGGGAACUGCUUUCAUAACUGCGGAGCUAGAGUACGGUAGAGGGUAGUGGAAUUUCCUGUGUAGCGGUGAAAUGCGUAGAUAUAGGAAGGAACACCAGUGGCGAAGGCGACUACCUGGACUGAUACUGACACUGAGGUGCGAAAGCGUGGGGAGCAAA